rnacentral:sRNA from 1 species
AGGCGCGGCGAGGCGGGUGGCGCGCGGCAGCAGGGUUGGGCUCUCGCCGUGAGUCGACGAAGGGAGCGCGGGCGCGCGCCCGCGUCCGCGCACUGAGAGUCGCCUCGGCCGCUCGCUUUCUCGACUCCCGCCUCGCGCCUCGAUCCUGUUCCGCCUCCCUCGGCCCUCCUGCCCGCCCCCACUCGUCGGCCCUCAGCUCAGAGACCUAAUAGGAUGGGGUCUUAGAGAAACAUCUUUUGAGCCACAGACUUCUUUGUUACCAGAAGGAAAAUGAAAGAAGAAAUUUAAAUACCACUUGAAGAGAGCUGAUCGCCACCAACUGGCCUCUGGGUGGAUUUGGCCAAUGGAAGCACCUGUAGAGGGAAGAGAGUGAGGUUAGGAUAUUUCUUCCUGCUGUCUCCGUGCUUCCCUGCAGAGAGUGUGAAGAAAUGACCCUGAAAAGCCUCUGGCAGAGGAUUCUUCUUUCAGGAUGGUGUCGCCUCCUCAGCAGCCCAUCCUCCUCCCCUGGACUCAAGCUCUCAUUCCAGUAACACUCCUUCCUCCUUCUCCAUCUUCAGGGGGAGGUUUGCCAGUCGGUGCUGCCCAGUUCAUGAGUGCUGCUGCUGUCCUGCCCAAGUACCCAGCUUGCAGAGUGCCAGAGUUAGAGUCCCAGGGGUGUUCUCCACAGCUGCAUGCUUGAUCCAGGCCUAUCAGAUAUAUUCCAUUGAAAGUCCUCAUUCUCAAAUUUAAAACAAAGACUUUUUGUGUACCUCAAUAGCAAUGCACACACAGUUGGCUUCACAAACAUAUUGUACAUUUCUUUUUUUCAUAUUUAUUCAACAAAUGUAUAUUGACUACCCACCAUGUGACAGGUGUUAUUUGUUGGCGGAACCAGGCAUCAUCAGCAAACAAAACUGACAAAGCUUCCUGCCCUCUGUGGAAGGCAUCUGAGGAAGAGACUGGAUUUUGUAGCAACAUGUUAUUCUCAUUAUAAACUUUAUCAUUGGAAUACUAAAGCCAAAUCAUCCCCCAUCUCCUUGAUCAGGAUACCCACUUAAUCUAGGCAGCUACACAAUUGUGAGAGCCUUUGUUUUUUUCUGCUGAAACAUCCUUAAAAAGAUACCUCACAACCCAAGAUUUGGCUUUUCUUAAAUACGAUUUUUAAUUUUUUUCAUUUCUAUCUAGAGAUUUAAUUGGAAAUGGAAAAUCAUCAAUUUUCCAAUUAAAUGUCUGUUCCAAUCAACAUUAUACCUUUUAGGUUGUCAUUGUCAUUUUUAAGUUUAAGCAACUUUAAGGAUUUUGAAUCUGGCUGCCUGUAAAUUAAAGGUGAAAGUAAUCAUUGUGUUGGAUUGGUACAUUUUGUCAAUUGAGAGUGGUUUCCUUGUUCUUAGUGUAUGAAAAGUUUAUUUUUCUAAUGUAGAUUAAUAAAGGAGAUAAAGAAAAACAAAAUGAGU